rnacentral:rRNA from 1 species
UACAGAGGUCUCAAGCGUUGUUCGGAUUCACUGGGCGUAAAGCGCACGUAGGCGGCUUUCUAAGUCAGGGGUGAAAUCCUGGAGCUCAACUCCAGAACUGCCUUUGAUACUGGAGAGCUUGAGUCCGGGAGAGGUGAGUGGAACUCCGAGUGUAGAGGUGAAAUUCGUAGAUAUUCGGAAGAACACCAGUGGCGAAGGCGGCUCACUGGCCCGGUACUGACGCUGAGGUGCGAAAGCGUGGGGAGCAAACAGG